AUACGGAGGGUGCAAGCGUUGUCCGGAUUUAUUGGGUUUAAAGGGUGUGUAGGCGGUGUAUUAAGUCAGUGGUGAAAGCCUGCGGCUCAACCGUAGAACUGCCAUUGAUACUGACACACUUGAGUAUGGACGAGGUAGGCGGAAUUUAUGGUGUAGCGGUGAAAUGCAUAGAUACCAUAAAGAACACCGAUAGCGAAGGCAGCUUACUAGGCCAUAACUGACGCUGAGGCACGAAAGCGUGGGGAGCGAACGGGAUUAGAAACCCCGGUAGUCC
rnacentral:rRNA from 1 species